UGGGCUUGACAUCUUGGGGAAAGCCGUGGUUUCUCACGGCUUUCCCCAAGAUGUCAAGCCCAGGUAAGGUUCUUCGCGUUGCGUCGAAUUAAACCACAUGCUCCACCGCUUGUGCGGGCCCCCGUCAAUUCCUUUGAGUUUCAGCCUUGCGGCCGUACUCCCCAGGCGGGGCACUUAAUGCGUUAGCGCCGGCACCCAGGGGGUCGCUCCCCCAGGCACCUAGUGCCCAUCGUUUACGGCGUGGACUAC
rnacentral:misc_RNA from 1 species